rnacentral:rRNA from 1 species
AUGGCUCAGAUCGACCACGGGGCAGCCAUCCGCCGCAUCCCUAGCGACCUACAAGAUCCCCUCGACCCCCUGGCGAACCCUAGAUCGCCACUCCUCCCCUCCUUCGCUCGCCCCCUUUGUUUUCUUUGUCAGCCAACACUGCCGCCGAUGCACGGCUGUCGAUCCCGCGACCACCAUGUUCCCCGGGCCUCGCAAGGGAGUCUGAUAACUGCGCCACCAUCGCCUACGUCGUCUAUGAGGAGCGAUUUGAGCUGUAGCGAUCUACUUCAUCCCCAUCGUCUCGGUCUUCUUCUUCGGCGACCACACGACGUCGCCGUUGAUUCGCAGCGCCUCGACCCCCUCCGGCUACCCCGAGCCACUCCUCUGCAUCCACAACGUUGGAGUCCAGGAGCCAGACGCCACCGUCGAUGA